rnacentral:rRNA from 1 species
UACAGAGGUCUCAACCGUUGUCCGGAUUUAUUGGGCGUAAAGAGCUCGUAGGCGGUGUGUCGCGUCGGCCGUGAAAACCUGCAGCUUAACUGUGGGCUUGCGGUCGAUACGGGCAUCACUGGAGUUCGGCAGGGGAGACUGGAAUUCCUGGUGUAGCGGUGAAAUGCGCAGAUAUCAGGAGGAACACCGGUGGCGAAGGCGGGUCUCUGGGCCGAUACUGACGCUGAGGAGCGAAAGCGUGGGGAGCAAACAGG